CUAUUAAAUGGAUUUCAACAUCACCAUAAAUGAUGACUUAGAAAAAACAAAAACAAAACGUUAACCUUCUUUAAAACCCACACGUUUCCCUCUUGAAAUACUCUCACAGUCGUGACUCUCUCUCUCUCUCUCCCUAAAUAUUUCCAAUCGAAACUCAAUCGGAAUCUUAAACCCUAAAUCCACUGUAUCAUGAAACCACCGCUUGCUGUAGAUUCAACCUUAUUCGUCUAAACUCAACUAUUCCUAAUAGACCGAAACAAUAUACAGUUUCCAGUGAUAUGGUGGAUAACAAAGUGUACAUAUCAUUUAUAAAAAAAACAUGUGGCUCAAUGAAAACUAAAUGAAGUAAAGCUCAUCGAAAAAAUGGAGUUUUCGACGAUAGUACCGGCGAUGCGACCGACCUCGAGGUAUGUUAUUUCUUUUUAUUUUCUUCCUUUGGUGUCGCUCUUCCUCGUUUUCGGUCCGACUCUGACUUUCUCCUUUACCUGUUUGUCAUUUCCUUUUGCACGCGAUUGAGGGGGUCAAGCUCUUCAAACCCUGAUUUUCAGUGUGAAAACCAGAGCUGAAAUACUGAGUUUUCGCGGAGCUUUUCGGUGUGAGGUUUGUUUGGGAUUUCAGCAGAGUGACGGUGCAAGAAGGGAGAGAUCUUUCAAUGAAUGAGCGCCCCCUUUUUAUAGGGUUCAGUACGAGGCCUUUCCAAUAUUCUCCUCUACGAGCUAACGGGCGGAUCCAAGAAUAAAAUUCGUUAGGGAAGAUCUUCUCCCGGAUUUCAUGUGGUCCUCAAGAUGUAUGUGAUAAGAAAGAAAUUCGAUUGUGGUCCCCUAAAUCUCUAAAUGCGUGGCCAUCUCCACCAAAUCUCCCGUCAAGUUUUUACAGUUGUGAAACCUUCAACUUUUAAGGUAGUCUCGGAACCAUGUGCGAAACCCAAUUCCACAUCUAUGCAUUGUUUCAACACCGACGAUGAUAGGCAUCCUGCAACAGGUUUUUGGACAACCUCUUCCUGCAUUCCCAAUAUUUCACUAUGACUUUUGGAUCCACGAUUCUGUGAGUUGUCGCCUCCUACUAGAAAGCGUUCGAAAGGUUCUUUGAAGUCUUCCUGGUAUCUCAUGCUUGGAACCGAAAUCCGUCAGAAUUAACUAGGGCCAUUUGUAUGACUAUGUACUGGUUUUGAGUAUGGAUGUAAUGCUUGUAAAGAAAUUGACUUAGUAUGUCAAAACAAUGAUGCCAUCGAUUUAUGCUUGUAAUGUGACAGUGUGUCUGGUUUUGGUUUUGGUAUCGUAUUACUUUGCUGCUAUUGCCAUA